CAGUAGCCGCGGUAAUACAGAGGGUGCGAGCGUUAAUCGGAUUUACUGGGCGUAAAGCGUGCGUAGGCGGCUUUUUAAGUCGGAUGUGAAAUCCCUGAGCUUAACUUAGGAAUUGCAUUCGAUACUGGGAAGCUAGAGUAUGGGAGAGGAUGGUAGAAUUCCAGGUGUAGCGGUGAAAUGCGUAGAGAUCUGGAGGAAUACCGAUGGCGAAGGCAGCCAUCUGGCCUAAUACUGACGCUGAGGUACGAAAGCAUGGGGAGCAAACAGGAUUAGAUACCCCGGUAGUCCCUGUCUCUUAUCA
rnacentral:rRNA from 1 species